GACGAACGCUGGCGGCGUGCUUAACACAUGCAAGUCGAACGGAAAGGCCCUGCUUUUGUGGGGUGCUCGAGUGGCGAACGGGUGAGUAACACGUGAGUAACCUGCCCUUGACUUUGGGAUAACUUCAGGAAACUGGGGCUAAUACCGGAUAGGAGCUCCUGCUGCAUGGUGGGGGUUGGAAAGUUUCGGCGGUUGGGGAUGGACUCGCGGCUUAUCAGCUUGUUGGUGGGGUAGUGGCUUACCAAGGCUUGGACGGGUAGCCGGCCUGAGAGGGUGACCGGCCACAUUGGGACUGAGGUACGGCACAGACGGCUAAGGGAGGAAGCAGUGGGGAAUAUUGAACAAUGGACGGAAGCCGGAUGCAGAAACGCCGCGUGCGGGAUGACGGCCUACGGGUUGUAAACCGCUUUCGACUGUGACGAAGCGUGAGUGAAGGUAAUGGGUAAAGAAGCACCGGCUAACUACGUG
rnacentral:rRNA from 1 species